rnacentral:tRNA from 1 species
CCUGAUGACUCAGACAGUAUAGAAUCUGCCUGUAAUGCAGGAGACCAGGGUUCAAUCCCUGUGUCGGGA